rnacentral:rRNA from 1 species
AUGCAAGUCGAGGGGUAACGGAAGUAGCUUGCUACUAGACGACGACCGGCGCACGGGUGAGUAACGCGUAUGUAAUCUGCCUUGUACAGAGGGAUAGCCCAGAGAAAUUUGGAUUAAUACCUCAUAGUAUUACUGAGUCGCAUGAUUUGGUAAUUAAAGCUCCGGCGGUACAAGAUGAACAUGCGUGACAUUAGCUAGUUGGUAAGGUAACGGCUUACCAAGGCUACGAUGUCUAGGGGUUCUGAGAGGAUGAUCCCCCACACUGGUACUGAGACACGGACCAGACUCCUACGGGAGGCAGCAGUGAGGAAUAUUGGUCAAUGGACGCAAGUCUGAACCAGCCAUCCCGCGUGAAGGAUGACUGCCCUAUGGGUUGUAAACUUCUUUUAUAUGCCAAUAAACCUACUUUCGUGAAAG